CGUGGGGACAGCGGCGAACGGGUGAGUAACACGUGAGUAAUCCACCCCCGACACUGGGAUAGCCCGGGGAAACCCGGAUUAAUACCGGAUAGCCACUUCGGUUUUCGGACCGGAAUGAAAAGGUAGCUUCGGCCUCCGGUUGGGGACGAGCUCGCGGCGGAUUAGCUUGUUGGCGGGGUAAAGGCCCACCAAGGCGACGAUCCGUAGCUGGUCUGAGAGGACGAUCAGCCACACUGGGACUGAGACACGGCCCAG
rnacentral:rRNA from 1 species